GAUGAACGCUAGCGGCAGGCUUAACACAUGCAAGUCGAGGGGUAGAGGUUACUUGCAACCUUGAGACCGGCGCACGGGUGCGUAACGCGUAUGCAACCUACCCUUUACAGAGGGAUAGCCCAGAGAAAUUUGGAUUAAUACCUCAUAGUAUAUAACCUUCGCAUGUUGGUUAUAUUAAAGUUCCAACGGUAAAAGAUGGGCAUGCGUCCUAUUAGCUAGAUGGUAAGGUAACGGCUUACCAUGGCAACGAUAGGUAGGGGUCCUGAGAGGGAGAUCCCCCACACUGGUACUGAGACACGGACCAGACUCCUACGGGAGGCAGCCGUGAGGAAUAUUGGACAAUGGGCGCAAGCCUGAUCCAGCCAUGCCGCGUGCAGGAAGAAGCAUCUAUGGUGUGUAAACUGCUUUUGUACAGGAAGAAACACCCCGACGUGUCGGGACUUGACGGUACUGUAAGAAUAAGGAUCGGCUAACUCCGUGCCAGCCGCCGCCGUAACAC
rnacentral:rRNA from 1 species